UCUCCGUUGGUGAACCAGCGGAGGGAUCAUUACCGAGUUUUUCUACUCCCAAACCUCUGUUAACUUAAGCCUUUACUGUUGCUUAGACGGUUUCACGCCCCGGCUGGCCCACAAAGGCUCCGGAACUUGGCGCCCGCCGGGGCACCCAAACUCUUGUAUUUAUUACUUUUAAUAUCUGAGUUGUAUCAAAAACAAAUGAAACAACACUUUCAACAACGGAUCGCUUGGCUCUGCCAUCGAUGAAGAACGCAACAGGACGGAAAAGCACACGUCUGAACU
rnacentral:misc_RNA from 1 species